AGAGAAAGUUAACUUCCACCUUUGCCAAAAAUUGAAUAUGACUCCCUGUUAAAUGUUUUCUGUAAAAUGUGUACCCUGUUAUUUCCUGCCUAAGUGCAGUUGUGUAGGUUUUAAGGUAGUAGCAGCCUGUAAUGUACUUUUUAACAUGCCUAGUCUUUCUAAUACUGCCUUUAAAAAAAAAAGAUGACGAUGGGCUUAUGUUUUCCUGCUGCUUUCUACGUAUUGCAAAAACAAAUAGCUGCCACAUGGCCGUUUAGAUGCUAUUUGUCUAACUCCUCUAAGUUUCACAGGACAGCAUCACUGAAAUUACUCCUGACUUGCACAGCAUAAGUCUUUGGAUGAGGUGGUAUUUUUGCUUCCAAGUAUUGUCAUUUAAGUCUGUUGCGUAUUUUACUUAAGUCUAAAUCCAACAGUUUGAUCUCUGCCUAUGUCAGCAAGAAAGCCCUAUCAUCUGCAUCGUGACUUCUUACCACUAAAGGCUGUCAAUCCACUGACAUCUUCACCAGCCUCCUAUCUUGUUUCAGUCCCUGGAUAGACAAAGCACCCUGGCCCAGAUUCAAAGAAGGAUUAAGCACCUACUUCUGUAGUAUUAUCUCAAGCCUCAAAUUAGGCACAUUAGCUCUGCAUAUAAUGCCUGCAAUGCAAGAUGCAGAAUCCCUGCUUGCUGGGUUAGAAGCUCUCUAAAGGUAGAUUGCAGGAAUGCUCACAGCACCCACUUAAGACAGUGAGCCAGCAGCUGGGGAGCACUGAACUCCUUGAACAAGUGCACCCCUUUCACAUGAGCAAUUUAGACCCACGUGUCCUCAAGCAGGGGCACCCAGGCAUGAUGCUGUAGGCACAUAAGGCCUCUGUAAGAAGGUAGGACAGUUCAGUCUAAUAGCUUUGUGCAUGGCUGAACUGAAAUGUCAGAGCAUAGGACAGAGCAGCUGUUGCCUCUUCAUUUUGUAAGCCGUGAUAAUGAGCAGAGGGUGGCACAGAGUUAGCAAGCUUCAAGAGCCAGAGCAAAUGGCAGUGUGAAGGCAGCAUUAUAGGAAGGCACUGUAAUCUGAAGGAAGCAUGGAAUCUCUUAAUGAAAAUGUUCAGGUAGCAGGGGGAAACCGGAGGUCUUAGUUGCCUUUCCAGACUCUGGAAGUUCUUGACAAGAACUGGAGGCAGCCUUUAAAAUAAGGACUGACAACCAGGUCUCUCCCCUUCUUGUGCACUCUUAACUAGGCUUACAGCCAUUCUUCUUGCUUGCUCAGCUCCUGGGUCCUAGAAUAUCUCAUUCUCUGUGCCACCUGUUUUCAGCCAAAGUGGCUGUAUCUGUUCUGUUAAAUGCGCUUCUAGCACAGUGCCAUCUCCCCCGCCUUUAAAGCGCUGUGCUGAUUGCCAGCUCCCAGCAGGGGUUAGCUUAGAGAUGGCAUGUAACGUGUACAGCAUGUAGUGUCAGCCAUGCAACAGGACAGAGAGAAAAGGUGUUUGGUAUUCAGGCUUCUUGCAGUUGCUGAGGAUUUUUCAGAUCACAUUUUGGGUAUUAUUGCUGCCUAUCUUAGCUACCUCAUGGUCUGAUCUGCAGUCUGAUCACAACCUUCCUGGACAGCUUCACAAAAUUUUAUAAAGGACAGCUUUAUUAGUCAAUGUUGGGGCUGUAUUCCAGACACAAAGCUAAUCCUGAUGAUCACUGUGAGUUCAAAAAUCUUCAGAGCAACUUUACUCUAUGAGACUGGAUCGAAAUGCUGCAGUUGUUACUUUGCACAAGUGAGUAAACGAGCAGGCUUCAUGCUCAGGCAGGUACUGAAGAACAGAAGUGGCCUCAGCAGAAUUCCUGGGGAAGAUGCUCACAGUGCGAGGGAGUGCCAGGAGGAGAGAAGGUGCCUGUAGAACCGAAGGAUUGUAGGCAUGGCAUGUAUUGAUUAAACAGAUCUUGAAAGACAGAUCCCUGCAUACCACUCUUCGAGGAGUAGUGUAACCAAAAAAGUAAUGUCCUGUAAGGGGAGGUGGCACUUUGUUGGAAACAAGAGUUGAAGAACAGGAUUGGAGAGAAUGACAUGGAGGAGGCAGGCAAAGGAAAAAAUGCCAUAAAUGUAAGAACUGAAGGUGGAAGAAAAAGGCCAUUAUGACUGCUUCUCAGAAUGAAAGUUGUUCAAGAGAAGACUGAAAGGAAGAUAGUAGUCAAGAUUUCAAAAAGUAGAAAGAAGAGUGACUGAUUAAGUGAUCCACAAUAUAAAGUACCAUGCUGCACUAAUUAAAGAUCCUUUUAAAGACUUUUAGCUGAUUAAAAUUAAGAAAAAAACAAAACCCACCAAUAGAAAUUAAGUCUCUAAAUACUGCUGUUUGGGAGAACACUUGUCAGAAGCACCUCCACUUAACACUGGAUGAAUAACCACUCGUAGGGUGGAGUAUUUAGAACGUGCUGAAGAAGCAGGGGUAGUAGCAAGGACUGUGUGUAGCUCUGUACUUCCUCUCCUUUCCAUGUCAUACGGCAAAGAAAGAAAAAGCAGGAUCACACUUGGGUCAAUUAAAAGAAUUCUUCAUCUCUGGCUUCAGUUAGGUGGAUGUGUUGAAGAUGGAGGAGAGGUAGCAAGGUGGAUCAUUGAAGGAGGAAACUGAAGGAGGAAAAAGCAAGGCGGAAGCAGAGCUGAAAGAAUGUGGUUUGUGCAGGUCUAGAGACCAGAUAAUCCCUUAACUAAGGGUCUUGCUUUGUGGUAGAAGAAUAUAAAAGUACACACCCUCUAUUACUCUCCCUUACUGGCAUAAUACUAACGAAAUCUUAUGCUGGCCACUGGGAGCAACUGGAAGUAGACUGAGAGGGAGAAAAAAGACUUGGACUAAUUGAAGCAAGGAGGCUGCAGUAAUUCACCUGAGGCCAGAAAAGGCUGGGCUGGAUUCUUCUACCUUCAGAGGCAUUCUCAGUGUACAGAGCUCUCGUGAAACUCUGUUGGGCAUGUUCUAGACAAAUGUCAUUGUACCUGCCUGGAAUAGAGCAAAGCUUUUGCAGAGCAGGGGGGUAAAUAGGAGAGAUCCUUUAAUAAAUAAAGGCAACGAGAUGUCUGCUCACGUUCUCUUAGACAGCAGCAGCUGUCAAACCUAAUGGACAGUCCUCACAGAAGAGUGGAAUGUGUGCUAAUGAAAAUUGUUUAAUGGUAACCAGAACUCCUAAUUGUAGAAGAUUCUGGAACAAUCUUCCUAAAGGAACAAAAUAAUGUAACUGCUUUGAGAUGCAUACUUAAGUGGAUUAUGUAAUAAUUUUUCCUGUAGCAGUAGGGAGCUGCACUGAGUAGUCCAGGAGGACUUCCUAGACUGUUCACCUGAGCAAUCUGAUUGGAUUGCCACUGACAGCAUAAGGAAGGGAUUCCCACUCUGACUGUAGGAUCUGACUCAGUGUUACUCCAGAAAGCUGUUGUCAUUCCAUGUCCCAGUUCUGCAAAGUGCUUAAGUACAUGUACACAUCAAAGCACAUUUCUGUUUGUGCCAGUCACUCGGCUCUGUAUGUGCCCUGCUGAAUUUACAUAGUGUUUAAGAAAAGAAGCUGCAGCUUGGAAAAAAACCAGCUACUGUGCAUGGUUAUGAGGUGAGAUGUUUUACUUAAAAAUUCAUCCUUUCAAGCCGCUUACUUAGGUUCCACCUAAUGAUACCAGGUGUGUUCUUAAAUACAGCUCUCUUGAAAAAAAAAAAAAAAACGCUUCAGGCAUGGUGGGAGUGCAGUAUGUGAGAACAUAAUAUUUGUCUCGAUGUUGACAUUCUUCUUUUCCUCAGCUGGGAAUUUUUGGGUGCAUCGUGUUUCAUUUUGUAAGUGCUUCAGAACACGCUUGGAAAUAGUGCCCAUUCAUAUGAAUGCUUGUACUCCCUUUGCCCCUGAGAAUCCCAUUGUGCAGAUAACAAUUGUGGCUUGUCCCGAGUGGGAUUUCCUCCUCAAACCUUCGGUUCAAGUUUAGGGUUCUAUAUCUAGCCUUAAGAAAUGUUUGAAAGUUUUUUUACUUUCGUGUGCCCUGUCUUUCUCCUUGGGUUGAAAGCUGUGAUUCAGCAACAUAUUUAAACAUUUGCUUCAAUCUGUCCUUCUCUGGAAACAUGGAUUAGGGAUCACAGAAAUAGUGAUUGAAUGCUGCCAGUUUGGCAUGAACUUAGUACUUUGAAAAGUUAAUGCUGAAUAACCUUUGAAAGACUUUUGGUGUGUGAUUUAAAACUUCUGGCAUAAGUAUCUUGAUUUUUCUUGUGCUUGUUAAUUUAGUAAG